CAGUCCCCCAGCCUCCAGAGCCCGGCUGCGGGCCUCGGGGCGAAGUGAGGACUGCGCGUGGGCGAAGUAAUUCUCCCGGGAAGAUGAGCCUGGCCUCAGACCCUCCCUGGGACGCCGUGGGCCGGACGCCUGGAGGAGGAGAGGAGGAGAGGGCCGAGCACUCCUCACAGACCCUGCGGGGGCCGCGGCCCAAGGGUCCUGCUGCUCAGGAAUGAAUCUGAGGACAGGCAACAUCUUGGUGACGCUCCAGACUUUCCAGCUGACUUGGUGUAGAGGACCUGUGGGAGGUGCUGAGGAGGACUGAGGGAGAGGAGGGUGGCAGUGUUUCAGAGGCUGCCCCAUCAGCCCAGGUUAACGAAGGAAGAAGUGGAGCAGAGCCCAGCCCACCCAUGUUGGACAUGGC